rnacentral:rRNA from 1 species
GAUGAACGCUGGCGGCGUGCCUAAUACAUGCAAGUCGAGCGAACAGACGAGGAGCUUGCUCCUCUGACGUUAGCGGCGGACGGGUGAGUAACACGUGGAUAACCUACCUAUAAGAUUGGGAUAACUUCGGGAAACCGGAGCUAAUACCGGAUAAUAUAUUGAACCGCAUGGUUCAAUAGUGAAAGACGGUUUUGCUGUCACUUAUAGAUGGAUCCGCGCCGCAUUAGCUAGUUGGUAAGGUAACGGCUUACCAAGGCAACGAUGCGUAGCCGACCUGAGAGGGUGAUCGGCCACACUGGAACUGAGACACGGUCCAGACUCCUACGGGAGGCAGCAGUAGGGAAUCUUCCGCAAUGGGCGAAAGCCUGACGGAGCAACGCCGCGUGAGUGAUGAAGGUCUUCGGAUCGUAAAACUCUGUUAUUAGGGAAGAACAAAUGUGUAAGUAACUAUGCACGUCUUGACGGUACCUAAUCAGAAAGCCACGGCUAACUACGU